rnacentral:misc_RNA from 1 species
UUUGUGCCCCCUCCCUGCAUUCAGUGCACACAUCUAAACUAAUGGCUGACAAGGAGCGAACCGUGGUGAUAGGGAUGGAUGGAAGCAAGCAGGCGAUAGAGGCCUUCAAAUGGUUCUGUAAAUCAAUGAAGCGAGACACGGACAAAGUCGUCAUGGUCUACACGGUUGAGGUCACAGAUGCAAUGACCCCCAAACAAUGGCUACAUGUUAAUGUUUACUGCAGUACCAAGUUCUGAACAAGAAAUUAAAACGACAAUUGAUAAAAACAUGGAGAAGAUCAAAGAAAAACUUGCUGGCUUUGCUAAACUGAUGGAAAGUGAACAUGCCACUGGGACAGUACGCAGUGCCCAGUCGGAGAAUCCGGGGGAGGGGAUCGUUAAGACCGCCAUUGAGCUAGACGCAGACAUGAUUAUCAUGGGCAGCCGGGGUCUGGGCACGAUCCGUAGAACCAUCCUGGGCAGUGUCAGUGAUUAUGUGGUUCAUCAUGCUAAUGUACCCGUUGUUGUAUGUCCGCCAUCUUGAUUUCGAAUGUGGAUAACUCGUGAUUGGAAUUAUUCGUAUGAAUCUCACCAGUUUUUCGUAUGUGACAGAAUGCAGUGGAAUACCAUGAGUUUUAUUAUGAGACAAUUAGCUGAACUACAUAUAUACACAUGUUUCAAUUUAACUUUUUUUUAAAUAUAAUUUUAUCCAAAC